AUUGGUCAAUGGACGAAAGUCUGAACCAGCCAUGCCGCGUGAAGGAUGACGGCCCUACGGGUUGUAAACUUCUUUUGUAUAGGAAGAAACCCCUCUACGUGUAGAGGGCUGACGGUACUAUUCGAAUAAGCACCGGCUAACUCCGUGCCAGCAGCCGCGGUAAUACGGAGGGUGCGAGCGUUAUCCGGAAUUAUUGGGUUUAAAGGGUGCGUAGGCGGAAAUUUAAGUCAGUGGUGAAAGCCUGCAGCUCAACUGUAGAAUUGCCAUUGAUACUGGAUUUCUUGAAUCUAAUAGAAGUAGGCGGAAUAUGACAUGUAGCGGUGAAAUGCUUAGAUAUGUCAUAGAACACCGAUAGCGAAGGCAGCUUACUAUGUUAGUAUUGACGCUAAUGCACGAAAGCGUGGGGAGCGAACAGGAUUAGAUACCCUGGUAAUCCACGCCGUAAACGAUGAUUACUCGCUAUUGGCGAUACACUGUCAGUGGCUAAGCGAAAGUGAUAAGUAAUCCACCUGGGGAGUACGAUCGCAAGGUUGAAACUCAAAGGAAUUGACGGGGGCCCGCACAAGCGGUGGAGCAUGUGGUUUAAUUCGAUGAUACGCGAGGAACCUUACCAGGUCUUAAAUGCAUAACGAACGAUUGGGAAACCAAUCUUUCUUCGGACGGAAUGCAAGGUGCUGCAUGGUUGUCGUCAGCUCGUGCCGUGAGGUGUCAGGUUAAGUCCUAUAACGAGCGCAACCCCUAUUCUUAGUUGCCAGCGGUUCGGCCGGGGACUCUAAGAAAACUGCCAGUGCAAGCUGUGAGGAAGGUGGGGAUGACGUCAAAUCAUCACGGCCCUUACGACCUGGGCCACACACGUGCUACAAUGGUAGGUACAAAGGGCAGCCACUUGGUGACAAGGAGCUAAUCUCUAAAACCUAUCUCAGUUCGGAUUGGAGUCUGAAACUCGACUCUAUGAAGCUGGAAUCGCUAGUAAUCGCGCAUCAGCCAUGGCGCGGUGAAUACGUUCCCGGGCCUUGUACACACCGCCCGUCAAGCCAUGGAAGCUGGGAGUACCUGAAGUCGGUAACCAUAUAGGAGCUGCCUAGGGUAAAACUAGUAACUGGGGCUAAGUCGUAACAAGGUAGCCGUACCGGAAGGUGUGGCUGGAACACCUCCUUUCU
rnacentral:rRNA from 1 species